rnacentral:tRNA from 1 species
GCCUCUAUAGCUCAAUGGAUAGAGCAAACCCGUCCUAAGGGUGAGAUGAGGGUUCGACUCCCCCUAGAGGCA